GUCUUGUUCCUUGGCCGGAAGGUCUGGGUAAUCCGCUGAACCUCUGCCGUGAUGGGGAUAGGGAAUUGCAAUUAUUUCCCUUGAACGAGGAAUUCCCAGUAAGCGCGAGUCAUCAGCUCGCGUUGAUUA
rnacentral:rRNA from 1 species